AGAAUCAACGCUGGCGGCGUGCCUAACACAUGCAAGUCGCACGAGAAAGGGUAGCAAUACCUGAGUACAGUGGCGCACGGGUGAGUAACACGUGACUAAUCUACCUUUGAGUGGGGAAUAACCUGGGGAAACCCGGGCUAAUACCGCAUAAUACCUACGGGUCAAAGCAGCAAUGCGCUUAAAGAGGAGGUCGCGGUCGAUUAGUUAGUUGGCGGGGUAAUGGCCCACCAAGACGAUGAUCGAUAUCCGGCCUGAGAGGGCGCACGGACACACUGGAACUGAAACACGGUCCAGACUCCUACGGGAGGCAGCAGUGGGGAAUUUUGCGCAAUGGGGGAAACCCUGACGCAGCAACGCCGCGUGGAGGAUGAAGCCCCUUGGGGUGUAAACUCCUUUCGACCAAGACGAUAAUGACGGUACUGGUGGAAGAAGCACCGGCUAACUCUGCGCCAGCAGCCGC
rnacentral:rRNA from 1 species